UAGAGUUUGAUCAUGGCUCAGGAUGAACGCUGGCGGCGUGCUUAACACAUGCAAGUCGAACGGUGAAGCCCAGCUUGCUGGGUGGAUCAGUGGCGAACGGGUGAGUAACACGUGAGCAAUCUGCCCCUGACUCUGGGAUAAGCGCUGGAAACGGCGUCUAAUACUGGAUAUGAACCGUGGAGGCAUCUUCAACGGUUGGAAAGAUUUUUUGGUCAGGGAUGAGCUCGCGGCCUAUCAGCUUGUUGGUGAGGUAAUGGCUCACCAAGGCGUCGACGGGUAGCCGGCCUGAGAGGGUGACCGGCCACACUGGGACUGAGACACGGCCCAGACUCCUACGGGAGGCAGCAGUGGGGAAUAUUGCACAAUGGGCGCAAGCCUGAUGCAGCAACGCCGCGUGAGGGAUGACGGCCUUCGGGUUGUAAACCUCUUUUAGCAGGGAAGAAGCGAAAGUGACGGUACCUGCAGAAAAAGCGCCGGCUAACUACGUGCCAGCAGCCGCGGUAAUACGUAGGGCGCAAGCGUUAUCCGGAAUUAUUGGGCGUAAAGAGCUCGUAGGCGGUUUGUCGCGUCUGCUGUGAAAUCCCGAGGCUCAACCUCGGGUCUGCAGUGGGUACGGGCAGACUAGAGUGCGGUAGGGGAGAUUGGAAUUCCUGGUGUAGCGGUGGAAUGCGCAGAUAUCAGGAGGAACACCGAUGGCGAAGGCAGAUCUCUGGGCCGUAACUGACGCUGAGGAGCGAAAGGGUGGGGAGCAAACAGGCUUAGAUACCCUGGUAGUCCACCCCGUAAACGUUGGGAACUAGUUGUGGGGUCCAUUCCACGGAUUCCGUGACGCAGCUAACGCAUUAAGUUCCCCGCCUGGGGAGUACGGCCGCAAGGCUAAAACUCAAAGGAAUUGACGGGGACCCGCACAAGCGGCGGAGCAUGCGGAUUAAUUCGAUGCAACGCGAAGAACCUUACCAAGGCUUGACAUAUACGAGAACGCUGCAGAAAUGUAGAACUCUUUGGACACUCGUAAACAGGUGGUGCAUGGUUGUCGUCAGCUCGUGUCGUGAGAUGUUGGGUUAAGUCCCGCAACGAGCGCAACCCUCGUUCUAUGUUGCCAGCACGUAAUGGUGGGAACUCAUGGGAUACUGCCGGGGUCAACUCGGAGGAAGGUGGGGAUGACGUCAAAUCAUCAUGCCCCUUAUGUCUUGGGCUUCACGCAUGCUGCAAUGGCCGGUACAAAGGGCUGCAAUACCGUAAGGUGGAGCGAAUCCCAAAAAGCCGGUCCCAGUUCGGAUUGAGGUCUGCAACUCGACCUCAUGAAGUCGGAGUCGCUAGUAAUCGCAGAUCAGCAACGCUGCGGUGAAUACGUUCCCGGGUCUUGUACACACCGCCCGUCAAGUCAUGAAAGUCGGUAACACCUGAAGCCGGUGGCCCAACCCUUGUGGAGGGAGCCGUCGAAGGUGGGAUCGGUAAUUAGGACUAAGUCGUAACAAGGUAACCA
rnacentral:rRNA from 1 species